rnacentral:rRNA from 1 species
CCUACGGGUGACUGCAGUGAGGAAUAUUGGUCAAUGGGCGAAAGCCUGAACCAGCCAAGUCGCGUGAGGGAUGACGGCCCUAUGGAUUGUAAACUUCUUUUAUAUGGGAGUAAACCACGGUACGCAUACCCUCUUGUAUGUACCCUAUGGAUAAGGCUGGUGUAACGCCGUGCCAGCAGCCGCGGUAAUACGGAGGGACCGGGCGUUAACCGGAUUUAAUGGGUUUAAAGGGAGCGUAGGGGGAUUGUUAAGGCAGGUGUGAAAGUGUGGGGCCCAAACGUAGAAUUGCAGUUGAAACUGGCAGUCUGGAGUGAAGGAGAGGUGGGCGGAAUUCGUGGUGUAGCGGUGAAAUGCUUAGAUAUCACGAAGAACUCCGAUUGCGAAGGCAGCUCACUGGAGUGCAACUGACACUGAGGCUCGAAAGUGUGGGUAUCAAACAGGAUUAGAUACCCCUGUAGUC